rnacentral:misc_RNA from 1 species
GAUGAAGAACGUAGUGAAAUGCGAUAAGUAAUGUGAAUUGCAGAAUUCAGUGAAUCAUCGAAUCUUUGAACGCACAUUGCGCCCCUUGGUAUUCCGAGGGGCAUGCCUGUUCGAGCGUCAUUUCAACCCUCAAGCACAGCUUGGUCUUGGGCUUCGCCGCUAACCCGGCGGGUCUUAAAAUCAGUGGCGGUGCCGUCGGGCCCUGAGCGCAGUAAUUUCUCUCGCUAUAGGGUCCCGGCGGAUGCUGGCCAGUAACCCCCAAUUUUCUAUGGUUGACCUCGGAUCAGGUAGGGAUACCCGCUGAACUUAAGCAUAUCAAUAAGCGGAGGA